rnacentral:rRNA from 1 species
CUAGAUCUGAGUAUAUCAAUAUUACCUUGUUCAGAACUUAAAGAGAAAUCUUGAGUUUAUGGACUUCAGGGGGAGUAUGGUCACAAGGCUGAAACUUAAAGGAAUUGACGGAAGGGCACACCAGGAGUGGAGCCUGCGGCUUAAUUUGACUCAACACGGGAAAACUUACCAAGACCGAACAGUAGAAGGAAUGACAGAUUAAGAGUUCUUUCAUGAUUUAUUGGGUAGUGGUGCAUGGCCGUUCUUAGUUGGUGGAGUGAUUUGUCAGGUUAAUUCCGGUAACGAACGAGACUGAAACCUAUUAAUUAGUUUUCUGCCUAUAAGACAGAAAUGUUCGCAAGAACAGGUGCGUAAGUACCACUUCUUAAAGGGACACAUUUCAAUUGUCCUAUUUUAAUUGUAGUUAUCUAAUUUCG